rnacentral:rRNA from 1 species
GUCUAUGGCCACGCCAUCCUGAACAAGCCCGAUGUCUGAUUUGGGAAGCUAAGCGGGGUCGGACCUGGUUAGUACUUAGAUGGGAGGCCACUUAGGAAGACCAGGUGCUGUAGGCA